rnacentral:rRNA from 1 species
UACGGAGGGGGCGAGCGUUAUUCGGAAUUAUUGGGCGUAAAGGGCGCGUAGGCGGUCUGUCACGUCGGCUGUGAAAUCCCGAGGCUCAACCUCGGGUCUGCAGUCGAUACGGGCAAACUAGAGUAUUGCAGGGGAGACUGGAAUUCCUGGUGUAGCGGUGAAAUGCGCAGAUAUCAGGAGGAACACCGGUGGCGAAGGCGGGUCUCUGGGCAAUAACUGACGCUGGAGGAGCGAAAGCGUGGGGGAGCGAAACAGG